CCCCAAUUAAAUCAUAAACAUUAAUUCUUAUCACAGUAUCAGUGCUCCAUCUAUAGGCCUAACAAAGGGGUGUUGAUAGACUUUUGAUUGGCUGAGCCACCAUCUAUUUGAAAACAAGCGACUUUGAUUGGCUGGAGACAGGAAGUUAUGUUUUGAAAACAAAGGGGGUUUUCAUCAACUGACUUUGAGCUUUAAGGUAUAAUUGAGUAACAUUAAGACUUAUAAUUCUAGUUUAAAAUGUCUUGAAUAACUUUCAGCAUGAAGUAUUGUGUGGUGAAAACAAUGUGUAUGUACUACAAUGUGUAAAUCAACAAUAAGUUUGUUGCAAAGGAGAUUCAAAGUGGAUGGUUAAAGUGAUAUGGUCUCAUAAUUCAUCAACUGCCUGUUAUCUUGGAAUACUGAAGAACAGUUGUUUUAGGUUAAACUCCCAAGGUGAAAUUUACAUUGAUUGGAAGAUUCUUUGGAUAGAAUAUUCCUGCCAAAAGACAGCAGAAGGGGGACUAACUGAUGUAUGGAUUUUGACACCAGAUUUUACCCUGCACGAGCAGCCCAACUUGAGUAGAUCAGGAGUGGGAAAACUGAGCCCUGUCCUUGACCAAGGAAAGUUGGAUUUGUUGAGAGGACCUGAUCUCAAAUGAGAUCAUGCACAAGACGCACCUCGCAAAGGCCAUG